GAGCUCGUCGGAGCGACGGCUUGGCACAAUCCUCACACACCGACAGACACCGACGGACGCACACAGACGCACAUACCCAUACUGCAGUGGCACAAGCGAAAGCGGGAGCCAGCUUUUGAGAUCGGUACGGUACGAAAAGAAGAAGCUCCGCUUGGCUCUGGGGCCCCAGAGCUUGGCUUGGGCUUACGUACCCCCAAGUACCCUACGAACACGCAGAUAAAGGAGCACGAAACGCUUCCACAGCUUAACGUAACGUAACGCAACGCAACGCAACGCAAAGAUAAGCGGCAAACGUGAAACGGUAAACAGUUCCCCACAUGUGUUUGUGUGUGUGUGUGUGUGUAAUGUGAUGUGCACUCGGUGACCGCUCAACUGCUUAACUGCCUAACCGAU
rnacentral:lncRNA from 1 species